rnacentral:rRNA from 1 species
UACGAAGGUGGCAAGCGUUGUUCGGAUUUACUGGGCGUAAAGGGAGCGUAGGUGGUGGGGUAAGCCCCGCGGGAAAGCUCCAGGCUUAACCUGGAAAGGUCGCGGGGGACUGCUCCGCUUGAGGACGGGAGAGGAGCGCGGAAUUCCCGGUGUAGCGGUGAAAUGCGUAGAGAUCGGGAGGAAGGCCGGUGGCGAAGGCGGCGCUCUGGAACGGCCCUGACACUGAGGCUCGAAAGCGUGGGGAGCAAACAGGG